GGAGAGAUGGCCGAGUGGUUUAAGGCGUAGCAUUGGAAGUGCUGUGUAGGCUUUUGUUUACCGAGGGUUCGAAUCCCUCUCUUUCCG
rnacentral:tRNA from 1 species